rnacentral:rRNA from 1 species
GGAGCGCGCNGCUACCUGCAGUCGUAUGGGGCUUUGGCUCCUGGCGGACGGGUGAGUAACACGUAGGCACCUGCCCCCAGACGGGGUCUAAUGGAGGGAAACCUCCGGUAAUCCCCCAUAGGCGCAACAAGUGCUUGGGAAAAGCUCUAGAAGCUGUCUGGGGAUGGGCCUGCGGCUGAUUAGCUAGUUGGUGAGGGUAAUGGCCCACCAAGGCGAGGAUCAGUAGCUGGCUUGAGAGGGCGGCCGGCCACAUUGGGACUGAGACACGGCCCAGACUCCUACGGGAGGCAGCAGUGGGGAAUCUUCCGCAAUGGGCGCAAGCCUGACGGAGCGACGCCGCGUGAAGGACUAAGGCCGUUUUGGGUCGUAAACUUCUUUGCACGGGCUUAGGAAGACUGACUGCCCGAGAAGCAAGCAUCGGCUAACUCCGUGCCAGCAGCCGCGGUAAUACGGGGGAUGCAAGCGUUAUCCGGAUUUACUGGGCGUAAAGCGUCUGUAGGUGGUUCGGUGUGUCUAUUGUCGAAACACAAGGCUCAACUUUGUGGGGCAUUUGGAUACUAUCGGACUAGAGGGCGGUAGAGGUGGGGGGAAUCCCUCGAGGAGCAGUGAAAUGCUUAGAGACGUGGGAGAAGGCCGGAGGCGAAGGCACCUCACUGGGCCGCACCUGACACUGAGAGACGAAAGCUAGGGGAGCAAAUGGGAUUAGAGACCCCAGUAGUCCUAGCCGUAAACGAUGGGUACUCGAUGCUGCGCGCCAUCCGUGCAGUAUCUCAGCUAACGCGAUAAGUGCCCCGCCUGAGGAGUACGCUUGCAAGGGUGAAACUCAAAGGAAUUGACGGGGGCUCC